rnacentral:rRNA from 1 species
UACGGAGGAUGCAAGCGUUAUCCGGAAUGAUUGGGCGUAAAGAGCUCGUAGGUGGUUCGGUAAGUCAGGUGUGAAACCUCCAGGCUCAACCUGGAGACGCCACUUGAUACUGCUGUGACUGGAGUCCGGUAGGGGAGCGUGGAAUUCCGGGUGUAGCGGUGGAAUGCGUAGAGAUCCGGAAGAACACCGGUGGCGAAGGCGGUCUGCUGGGCAGUAGCUGACACUGAGGCGCGACAGCGUGGGGAGCAAACAGG